UGCGUAACACGUAUGCAACCUACCUAUCAUUGGGGGAUAGCCUUUGGAAACGGAGAUUAAUACCGCAUAAGACAGUAACAUGGCAUCAUGUAGCUGUUAAAGCUUCGGCGAUGAUAGAUGGGCAUGCGUCCAAUUAGUUAGUUGGUGAGGUAACGGCUCACCAAGACGAUGAUUGGUAGGGGAUCUGAGAGGAUAAUCCCCCACACUGGCACUGAGAUACGGGCCAGACUCCUACGGGAGGCAGCAGUAGGGAAUAUUGGGCAAUGGACGGAAGUCUGACCCAGCCAUGCCGCGUGCAGGAUGAAGGCGUUAUGCGUUGUAAACUGCUUUUUUAUAGGAAGAAGGAGCCCUUGCGAGGUAUGGUGACGGUACUAUAAGAAUAAGCACCGGCUAACUCCGUGCCAGCAGCCGCGGUAAUACGGAGGGUGCGAGCGUUGUCCGGAUUUAUUGGGUUUAAAGGGUGCGUAGGCGGUUUAUUAAGUCAGUGGUGAAAGACGGUCGCUCAACGAUUGCAGUGCCAUUGAUACUGGUAGACUUGAGUUCGUAUGAGG
rnacentral:rRNA from 1 species